GUGCAUGUUCAGAGGUGUGUACGAGGAGGCUGCCCUUCCCCAGCCUGUGUCCCCAUGAGCAGACGGAUCUCUCUCUGAAGGAACAGCCACUGGUUCUCUGCUGCAGGCUUAUCAUACCCAAAGGACAUAUAUAUGCUCCACUACCAGCUGUAGUCCUGGUUUUUUUGCUUCUUCCCCCAUCCAGAAACAAACCUCUCAUAAUACUGUGCUUCAUUAGAUGUGCAGUUUGAGAAGGAAGGCUGAAGAAAGAAAACAAAAACAUAGCAGAGAAGAAUCAUCAUCAAAGAUUGCUCCGUUUCCUGCGAAAAAUCCUUCCUGCCAUUCCAUCUCUGUCUUGUUUAGGGCCGCUAUUUGCGGACAGCCUGCAUGUACAGGGCAGAUCUGGAGCUGCUGUAGGCUCAGAGUGGCUAAAGAUGCUUGCAGAGGCUGUGCUGGUGAAUGCAUGGGAUGUGCUGUAUGCAGGCAUUGUGCUUCCUCAGCAGAAUUCAGUCCUCGUAAGGAAGGGGCUCAUAUUUCUGCUGGCACUGGCAGGUUAACAGCUAAUUCACACAACGUGAAUCUGAUUUUAAUGUCAUCUGCAGGCUCUAAUAAAAAGAGGGAACACUGAUCUAGAAAUCUCAUCAGCAUCUUCCCAUCAGAAGCUGCAGAUUUGCCUCCCCUGUGAGCUGCAUGCCCAUGCCAGUAUUCCUCAUCUCUCUGCACUCCUCCAUCACCAUCCUGCAGCACAAGGAGUGAGCCACCAGCAUGGGGACACGGCAGAGAUCUCAAGACACACCCUCGCUCUGUGACAGGGCGAGAGAAAACUGCAAGCAGUGGGUUGAGCCUGGGAUACAUGUGGAGUCAUGAGACUUUAUGAGACUGACGCUGCUGAUGAAGAAUAUAAAUUACAAGGGAGAGGCAGUCCUGCCAAGCACUUGUUCCCUUCCAGGAAUAGAAAACCGUUCUUCUGCUCCUUCAGUUUCUGUGCAGAGGAAUUCCAAAGCAUUUGGUGAGGAUUUUCUCUAUAGAAAUGAGAACAUGAUGUGCAAAAGUACAGCCACAGUUUGAUAGAGGACAGCAAAAAUUCAGCUCAUUGCAGCAGUUGCAAAAGGUGCCUCCUGGUCUGAACCACAGAGAAAUCAGCUCUGACAAAUGCAGACAAAUAGGUGACAUUGUACUAUUGUGUAAAGGGCCCUUGCUCUGUUGUGGAUGAAACAGAACUUCUGGCCUGCGAGCAAAGCACAGAUUCACUGAGGAGCUUUUGGUUUUGGACUCCAUCCUCGGCAGUGGGCUCCUCACAGGUCAAGUGCUGGGCUCAAGUGGAAGUCCUGAACUUACUGGGUCAGCACAAACAUCCAUCUAAGCCUGUACUCCCUGACAGUAACUGAUAGCAAAUAUUCCCUUUAUUCUUCUGGACAGGACAGACAGAUAUUUCCUCUGCUAUGCUUUUCUGACAAGAGAUCAGGGCUUCCCGGCAGAGCAAUUCCCAUCUGGGAAUUAUAACCAAAUCACUGUGUUAACAGCUCCUGAUGGAUUUUUCUCACCUGAAUUUGCCUAGCUGUUUUUAAGCCCCACCAACAGCACAAAGAUACCAAGCCUGAGAUAAGAACCACUUAACAAGGAAGGUGGCUAUCUCAUGCCUGAGGGGACCCUCCUGCAGCAGAGUUACCUGAGGGUGCAAAUCUUCCUGGUCAGUUAGUCGGGCAGGUUUCUCCAACUACCUGAUAAAGCCAAGCUCCUUCAUCCUUAGGCAUAUUUGUAAUAGCUUCUGGACAGAUUCACAGCAAAGAUUAAGAGCACAGAGUAAUAGAGCAGCUGUCCAAAGAUGAAAGCAAUUAGCUGGCCUAAUGAGAGAGCAACCACAAGCAUGACUGAUCAAAAUGACAGAGAUGAUACAAUGCCAUCAGCUCAAAUGUGUCAGCAUACCUUUCUUAAACCAAUAAUUUGAGUGAAAAUAAUAUGAAUACUGCUGGGAUCUGACGCACUAGCAAGGGUAACAAGUCUCGUGUGUAAGGUCCUCAGAGGACGUACCACAUACUCAAGACAAGAGGUAAUGGCCUUAAGUUGUGUCAGGGGAAGUUCACAUUGGGUACUGGGAAAAAUUUAUUCUCAGAAAGAUUGGUGAUGCUUUGGAACAGGCUGCUCAGAGAGGUGGUGGAGUUACCACCCCCGGAGGUGUUUAAGAACUGUGCAUAUAUGGCAAUGAGGGACAUGAGUUAGUGGGUAUGGUGGGGAUGGACUGAUGGUUGGACUCGAUGGUCUUACUGGUCUUUUCCAGCCUUAAUGAUUCUAUGUUCCAUGAUUCCUGCUGGAGCAGAAGGGUAGAUCAACUCUCCACAGUGUCUUCAGAGAGGAUCCUACAGCUCUCAGUCACCACAACCUCAUGGGUGUGCUUGAGGACUGAUACAGACCUUUGACAGGGGAAUCCCGCUCCAUAAAUUUAACUAGGUAAUGCAGGAGCUUUAUCACAUUAAAAUGGCUCUCAUCCAAGUUCUUUCUUCAGUCAAGCUUUCAGUGAAUUACAUAUUCCUUCUCAAAUCUGUCCAGCAUAUCCAAGUGAUAACAUUUCCACACUACUUCAUGGCAGGUGAAAGCAGAUGGGGAGCUGUGACUGCAACAGGCACCAACGCUGAUUGCACAGGCCAACGCACAGGUAGCAUUAAUUGGGAAAAGAGGGUUAAUGAAGUGCUCCUUCAGCGUGCCUGUGGCGUUAACUCCUCCAGUAGAAGUUUCUCUUUCAGUUUUAUUCACUGAGCUCUAAUUCUUGAGGGCUGCCAAGCAGCCUUCAUGUGCAGUGCCACUGAGGAGCCUCAUGGCUCAUGCAGGGGCUCUCCAGACAUCACUACAACCCCCAAGCCAGAUAAGAAGUGCAACACUGUCAAAAUGCUUCCUGUGCACGAGAGCUUAUGCUGAUUUGCACAGACCCACACCAAAAUGCAAAUCCUUCAUGCAUGCAGGUGAUAUUUUGUGCACAGAUACCAAAGGAUGAGUGUCAUGUACAUCCUGAAAACACCACAUUUGCUUGUGCACACCGGGCAUUCACGUGCAAACAUGCUUAGUCUCAAGAAGUUCCAUUUGUACUGCUAUUUUUAACCCUCCCCAAACAGCUGAGACUUCCUGGUAUCACUUCUAGAAACUGCAAUAGAGCAUGUAAAUGCCAGAAAGAACAAGCAAAGCCGUGGAGGUGACCUUUCCCCAGUCUUGAAAAGAAGCCACGGAUCUUUGUGGUGACAGUUCAGUCCUACAAGUGAGUUAAAAUCGUUUUGCUGUUUUCUGCUCUGGAUUGGCAGCUUUGGAAAGGUGUCAUAUGGCUGCUGCUUGACACAGGCAUUUGUUGAAGCAAACAUUCAAAAAAAGAGCUUGAAUAGCUCUUAAUUAAAUGGGUUUGUAUUGUGCUAGGUGAGGGUGUGCCCCAUCCUGGCUGGCAAAGCUGAACAGGGAAAGGCCAAAGCAGUAACCAACACCGAGCAGCAGGGAGGGAGCGGGGGCUUGCACACCUCCGGACUUAAAACUAUCCUCAACCUUUGGUCUUGUUCUCAGUACACACAAAAAGAGAGAAGGAAGAUUUCAUUGGGGCUUAUAAAGAAGCUGUUUAGAAGUAAAAGCUGAUCUAGAGGAAAAGAACAAAAGAACAAUGGCUCUGUCGAAAUGUUAUACUAGUCUGAACUGAAACCACUUCACUGAGAGAUUCUGUAAGGAAUAAUUUUGAGUCAAGACUAGAAAAGAUCAAAUAGCAGCUGGAAAGCAAGAAUAUACCAGGGAGGAGGGGAGAAAGGAGCUAUACUGCUUCAGCACAAACAGCUGGAAAGACAUAAUAGGAAGUGCUUUUGUUGUUACACAGUCCUUUUGCGUCUUGUCCAUGUAAAUAAACCAGAAAUUUACCAUUUAAAAUUCUUAGUCUUUGUACAAUUUUGAUAGUUUUGUGUGACCGCGCUCCUUUCUGUAAGAAGUUUCACAGAAGCGCAGAUCCACAGAGGUAUUGAGCCCCCAUUGUAGCAAGUGGAAUUAGACACCUCAGUGCUUUUGUUGAUGUUACCCUUUGGCCAUGCUGGAAAUUUGCAGCUAGGUGAGGGGAGAUAUGCCCCAACACAACUACACUGCCUUAUAUUCACAGCUUAGGGUAUAACAAAUUUUUUUUCUCUAACGUGUACAAGUGGAAUGCCAAUGUCACAAGCACAACUACAAUACUUUGGGACUUCUGCCUGUCUCUUCAGAUCCAUUUAAUGUUCCAGGCAUGGUUUACAAUGCACAGCUACAGCAGCCGUACUGGAGGUAGCCAUGCAAUGAUGUGCAAGUUUAUUUAAGUGUGGUUAAAACUCCCACAUUUCUGAAAGGUUCCUCUCAGGGAUGUAAAACUUUACAGCCCAUUUGAACCUUUUGUAACCACUCAGCACAGCUUGCUUUUCCUGGGCCGCAUAAUUUCUGCUCUCUGAGCAGAUGCUUCAUUCAGUUAAUGCAUAGAUUCAAGAGCUUUACUUCAGCUCUAUAUUGCAAAUUUUCUAUCCUUAAGGUAGGAAUGAUGCAUGCUUAUUUUUGGGAACAUGAUCUGCCUUCAGUGGUGAGCUUACAACUGCAAAGUAUUGUUAUUAACUUGAGUUGAGGUUUAGAUAGAGAAGGGUCACAGGAAUGUCUUCAGACUUUGUGGAAAUGUUUUGCAGGGGACAAGUCCAGACAAAUUUCUAUUCCAGAACAAAAAAAAAAAAAAAAAAAGAAAACCAAUAAAACCAGCUAGGGAGUUAAUACACAGUAUAUAAGAUUAGUCAUUAAAAAGAUAACUGUAUGGUAAAUUACUAUAGCAGGAAAAUAGAAACACGUGAACUAAGGAAGAACAACUGUCCAUAAUGCACUUCGCAUGCUGCAAGUGAUCACUUAAAAGCUGACUUCAGCUUUCUAGAGCUGACACGAUUUCAACCAUAGUCAACGUCUGCUAUUCCUAUUUCACUCCUCACUUUCUUGCUGUUUUCCAUUCCAGCAGAUGUUAAUUAACAGCUGUGAUAGCUAGUAUAUCACCCAGAGGCAUUUUCUGCUAACUGGUUGAGAACUGAGCCAGCAACAAACUGUAACUUUCUGGCCUUGAAGGAAGAGUUAAACUGUCUUAAAAAGUGUGGUGUAGUGCCUAGGGGUUGGUUUGUCUCCUCCUAAAGAGAGUGUCAGUGCAAAAUGCUGUCCUUGUGUACGCUGUACUUGUGCUGACUGCAUGAAUUCUACUUCUCUAGCUGCUUUAGGGGCAAGUAAGGAGAUUGUUAUAGUGCUUUUAUGCCAAAUAAAGAAUCCCAAAAUAGAGGAGCCAGAAAAUACAUCUCCUGUAGGUUUUUCUUCCUCCUCCACAUUGCACAGGUCUGAGCUACAGCAUUUCUAGGAAGCAACAAUGGAAGGAUUUCUCUAAGGUUAUGCUGUGUUCCUAGUUCUGAGCCCAAGGCUGUUCAACAGGACAGGUAAACCAACUGAUUUUUGGAAAGCUCUCUCACUGAAAGCACAUUCCGGGAUAAACUCAACCAAAGAUGUGCACACUAUGUUUUCUCAGGCAGUGGCAUUUCCAGAAUCAAGAUCAAGGCUCAAUUCUGCUCCAGAUCAUAAAAUUGAGUGGGAAGGUUCCCAGAAGUACAUACAGAAGUGGAUUAGCCCUACGUUUUCUUUUUCCCUCGGCCACUGCUGCCCACUCUUCUGUCACCGAGCACUUGUGAGCUCAGUGGAGUUUAUCUGCCUUAACAUUUGCAGACUGAGGACACAACAAAGAUCUGGAAAGCAAAACACACUGAUGUCAGCAGGGUGAAAAGAAUGUAAGCUACUAAAGUACAAGGGAGCACAGUAACUCUGAUUUUUCAUUUCAGCUCACAUACGUAGGUGUGAUUCUUAUUUUCAGUAACAGAGAACCUUAGGGCAGAAAGAGCCACCACAAACAGCAGCUUUGCAUGAGGAGACCUGAGGUGUGGCAAGGAGGUAGCAGAAGUUUCCUGGCACUGAGAAUCAAGCCAACUCCGUCCCUUCCAAAACAUCCCGUAGUUUGCUAACUAAUAUCCUGAAAAACAUUCUAACUCAUUUUUACUCAUAUGAAACAUGACAUUUAGCUCUGAUGAGGAUUAUACACUGCAGUAAAUUUUUCAUUUAAAAACAGGCCUUGGAGCUUUUUUGGAAAGUGGUUCGCUAUCCCCAAAGCAUGUUAUUAUAUUAUAUCUGAUAUUAUUAUUAUAUCUGAUAUUAUAUUGCUUUAUCUAGAUGAAAUGAGCAGCAAAUCAAACUUUUAAGCUGCAGCUGCUAAUCAAUAUGCUUUAUGUGAAGACUACAUCUAAAUAUUGUUUCUUGGAACUAUUUGUGAAUUUCAGAUGUGUCUUUAAGGCUGUAACAGAUAAACUACUUCUGUUGUAUAUACAGUAGAGCAAGUUUAUCCCUUCUGUUUUAUCGGGAAAUGAAAAAUCACAGCCAGCAGGUCUCCCGUCCUAUUUACAAUAAAUUAGUGAUGAAGGGGAAAGGUUUGUUUUUCAAAAUGGUGUAAUUGUAUGGUCUCAAAUAUCAUUCUAUAAUCGACACUCUCUUACCCCAGUUUUGAAAUGACAUCCUAGAAAAAACCAGGCGUGGGUUUCUUUGUUUAGGUAGGAUCCCCAAAGGCUACAAAAUGAGCUUCUAGUUUGCACCUGCACUUGGAACAGCUUGUCUUCCAAUUAGAUAGCAGCCAUUUGAACGUGCUUAAUUAAACACGGGCUUUAAAGUGAGACAUCCAGAUGUACUGCUCAAGCCAAGGCUGUGAGCUCUGUCCUUCAGCUCUUAGCCCUCCUAUGAGAUUAUCUUGUCAACAGACAAGAGAUUUUACUACAUCUCAAAUAUAAAACUAUCACUGUUUGCACUACAGUGAAGACAAAACUUACAUAACUUUACAUAAAUAAAUCUGUAAAGAGCUCACAUAGUCUCUUCUCCGUUCUUUCAGUUCAGUUCAAGCAACAGCCUGACCUAAAAGCUGAGGUUUAAACUCCUGAGGCUUUCCAAGUAUUUAUUCCAGCAUUUGACCCAGUGUUUCCAAUUUAGGAUCCUUUUCUGCAGGUGCUGCAGCAAGCUUCCUGCUCCCUAUAAUCUUUGUUGAGUCCCAGACUGACCAGCCUACAAUAGCAGGGAAUGAUUCACCAGACAGCCACCCAGAGCUUUAUUUUUAGCUUUGGCAAGAGCAAGAAUAAGUAGGCAUAUACUUUGCAGGUUUAUUUGAAAAGUUCACACUAUUUACUAAAUGUUUAGUUUUGCCCAUAACCUGCAAUCCUUAGCAGUAUUCGGAAUAAUUUCAAGAAAAGUGCACUGCAGCUGAUGUUGCUGGGGUUGAACCUCAUCUGCUUAUUUCUGUUU